GUGGGGAAUCUUAGACAAUGGGCGCAAGCCUGAUCUAGCCAUGCCGCGUGAGCGAUGAAGGCCUUAGGGUUGUAAAGCUCUUUCGUGGGGGAAGAUAAUGACUGUACCCCAAGAAGAAGCCCCGGCUAACUCCGUGCCAGCAGCCGCGGUAAUACGGAGGGGGCUAGCGUUGUUCGGAAUUACUGGGCGUAAAGCGCACGUAGGCGGACUGGAAAGUCAGGGGUGAAAUCCCGGGGCUCAACCCCGGAACUGCCUUUGAAACUCCCAGUCUUGAGUUCGAGAGAGGUGAGUGGAAUUCCGGGUGUAGAGGUGAAAUUCGUAGAUAUUCGGAGGAACACCAGUGGCGAAGGCGGCUCACUGGCUCGAUACUGACGCUGAGGUGCGAAAGCGUGGGGAGCAAACAGGAUUAGAAACCCUGGUAGUCC
rnacentral:rRNA from 1 species